UCAUACCUCUGUAACACCCUGAACAUGGCCAGUCUUGUCUGACUUUGGAAGCUAAGUAUGGUGGGGCCUGGUUAGUGCUUGGGUGGGACACUGCCUAGGAAUACUGGUUGUUGUAGGAU
ensembl:rRNA 5S_rRNA 5S ribosomal RNA